UAAAGGGUGCGUAGGCGGCCUGUUAAGUCAGGGGUGAAAGACGGUAGCUCAACUAUCGCAGUGCCCUUGAUACUGAUGGGCUUGAAUGGACUAGAGGUAGGCGGAAUGAGACAAGUAGCGGUGAAAUGCAUAGAUAUGUCUCAGAACACCGAUUGCGAAGGCAGCUUACUAUGGUCUUAUUGACGCUGAGGCACGAAAGCGUGGGGAUCAAACAGGAUUAGAUACCCAGU
rnacentral:rRNA from 1 species